rnacentral:rRNA from 1 species
GGUUAAGCGACUAAGCGUACACGGUGGAUGCCCUGGCAGUCAGAGGCGAUGAAGGACGUGCUAAUCUGCGAUAAGCGUCGGUGAGGUGAUAUGAACCGUUAUAACCGGCGAUUUCCGAAUGGGGAAACCCAGUGUGUUUCGACACACUAUCAUUAACUGAAUCCAUAGGUUAAUGAGGCGAACCGGGGGAACUGAAACAUCUAAGUACCCCGAGGAAAAGAAAUCAACCGAGAUUCCCCCAGUAGCGGCGAGCGAACGGGGAGGAGCCCAGAGCCUGAAUCAGUGUGUGUGUUAGUGGAAGCGUCUGGAAAGGCGCGCGAUACAGGGUGACAGCCCCGUACACAAAAAUGCACAUGCUGUGAGCUCGAUGAGUAGGGCGGGACACGUGGUAUCCUGUCUGAAUAUGGGGGGACCAUCCUCCAAGGCUAAAUACUCCUGACUGACCGAUAGUGAACCAGUACCGUGAGGGAAAGGCGAAAAGAACCCCGGCGAGGGGAGUGAAAAAGAACCUGAAACCGUGUACGUACAAGCAGUGGGAGCCUCUUUAUGGGGUGACUGCGUACCUUUUGUAUAAUGGGUCAGCGACUUAUAUUCUGUAGCAAGGUUAACCGAAUAGGGGAGCCGAAGGGAAACCGAGUCUUAACUGGGCGUUAAGUUGCAGGGUAUAGACCCGAAACCCGGUGAUCUAGCCAUGGGCAGGUUGAAGGUUGGGUAACACUAACUGGAGGACCGAACCGACUAAUGUUGAAAAAUUAGCGGAUGACUUGUGGCUGGGGGUGAAAGGCCAAUCAAACCGGGAGAUAGCUGGUUCUCCCCGAAAGCUAUUUAGGUAGCGCCUCGUGAAUUCAUCUCCGGGGGUAGAGCACUGUUUCGGCAAGGGGGUCAUCCCGACUUACCAACCCGAUGCAAACUGCGAAUACCGGAGAAUGUUAUCACGGGAGACACACGGCGGGUGCUAACGUCCGUCGUGAAGAGGGAAACAACCCAGACCGCCAGCUAAGGUCCCAAAGUCAUGGUUAAGUGGGAAACGAUGUGGGAAGGCCCAGACAGCCAGGAUGUUGGCUUAGAAGCAGCCAUCAUUUAAAGAAAGCGUAAUAGCUCACUGGUCGAGUCGGCCUGCGCGGAAGAUGUAACGGGGCUAAACCAUGCACCGAAGCUGCGGCAGCGACGCUUAUGCGUUGUUGGGUAGGGGAGCGUUCUGUAAGCCUGUGAAGGUGUGCUGUGAGGCAUGCUGGAGGUAUCAGAAGUGCGAAUGCUGACAUAAGUAACGAUAAAGCGGGUGAAAAGCCCGCUCGCCGGAAGACCAAGGGUUCCUGUCCAACGUUAAUCGGGGCAGGGUGAGUCGACCCCUAAGGCGAGGCCGAAAGGCGUAGUCGAUGGGAAACAGGUUAAUAUUCCUGUACUUGGUGUUACUGCGAAGGGGGGACGGAGAAGGCUAUGUUGGCCGGGCGACGGUUGUCCCGGUUUAAGCGUGUAGGCUGAUUUUCCAGGCAAAUCCGGAAAAUCAAGGCUGAGGCGUGAUGACGAGGCACUACGGUGCUGAAGCAACAAAUGCCCUGCUUCCAGGAAAAGCCUCUAAGCAUCAGGUAACAUCAAAUCGUACCCCAAACCGACACAGGUGGUCAGGUAGAGAAUACCAAGGCGCUUGAGAGAACUCGGGUGAAGGAACUAGGCAAAAUGGUGCCGUAACUUCGGGAGAAGGCACGCUGAUAUGUAGGUGAAGCGACUUGCUCGUGGAGCUGAAAUCAGUCGAAGAUACCAGCUGGCUGCAACUGUUUAUUAAAAACACAGCACUGUGCAAACACGAAAGUGGACGUAUACGGUGUGACGCCUGCCCGGUGCCGGAAGGUUAAUUGAUGGGGUUAGCGGCAACGCGAAGCUCUUGAUCGAAGCCCCGGUAAACGGCGGCCGUAACUAUAACGGUCCUAAGGUAGCGAAAUUCCUUGUCGGGUAAGUUCCGACCUGCACGAAUGGCGUAAUGAUGGCCAGGCUGUCUCCACCCGAGACUCAGUGAAAUUGAACUCGCUGUGAAGAUGCAGUGUACCCGCGGCAAGACGGAAAGACCCCGUGAACCUUUACUAUAGCUUGACACUGAACAUUGAGCCUUGAUGUGUAGGAUAGGUGGGAGGCUUUGAAGUGUGGACGCCAGUCUGCAUGGAGCCGACCUUGAAAUACCACCCUUUAAUGUUUGAUGUUCUAACGUUGGCCCGUAAUCCGGGUUGCGGACAGUGUCUGGUGGGUAGUUUGACUGGGGCGGUCUCCUCCUAAAGAGUAACGGAGGAGCACGAAGGUUGGCUAAUCCUGGUCGGACAUCAGGAGGUUAGUGCAAUGGCAUAAGCCAGCUUGACUGCGAGCGUGACGGCGCGAGCAGGUGCGAAAGCAGGUCAUAGUGAUCCGGUGGUUCUGAAUGGAAGGGCCAUCGCUCAACGGAUAAAAGGUACUCCGGGGAUAACAGGCUGAUACCGCCCAAGAGUUCAUAUCGACGGCGGUGUUUGGCACCUCGAUGUCGGCUCAUCACAUCCUGGGGCUGAAGUAGGUCCCAAGGGUAUGGCUGUUCGCCAUUUAAAGUGGUACGCGAGCUGGGUUUAGAACGUCGUGAGACAGUUCGGUCCCUAUCUGCCGUGGGCGCUGGAGAACUGAGGGGGGCUGCUCCUAGUACGAGAGGACCGGAGUGGACGCAUCACUGGUGUUCGGGUUGUCAUGCCAAUGGCACUGCCCGGUAGCUAAAUGCGGAAGAGAUAAGUGCUGAAAGCAUCUAAGCACGAAACUUGCCCCGAGAUGAGUUCUCCCUGACUCCUUGAGAGUCCUGAAGGAACGUUGAAGACGACGACGUUGAUAGGCCGGGUGUGUAAGCGCAGCGAUGCGUUGAGCUAACCGGUACUAAUGAACCGUGAGGCUUAACCUU